rnacentral:tRNA from 1 species
GGGCGAUUAACUCAGCUGGUUAGAGUGUCACCUUCACACGGUGGAAGUCACAAGUUCGAAUCUUGUAUCGCCCACCA